UACGUAGGGUGCGGGCGUUAAUCGGAAUUACUGGGCGUAAAGCGUGCGCAGGCGGCCUCUUAAGUCAGAUGUGAAAUCCCCGGGCUUAACCUGGGAACUGCGUUUGAAACCGGGAGGCUAGAGUGUGGAAGAGGGGGGUGGAAUUCCAGGUGUAGCAGUGAAAUGCGUAGAGAUCUGGAGGAACACCGAUGGCGAAGGCAGCCCCCUGGGCUGACACUGACGCUCAUGCACGAAAGCGUGGGGAGCAAACAGG
rnacentral:rRNA from 1 species